GUAAAGGUUUGCCCUGAAAAUGAAACUGAAGUGGAAGAAGCCUCCAAGAGACUUAAAUGUUCCUCUGGUUACGACAAGACUAAGAAUGAACAUCAUUGUGUACCAUUCUCAAAUUUCACACACCUUGUCGAGUUUUGUUAUCCAAAAACAAGUGGAUUGAUUGAACAUGGAAUUUGUAUGAUUCUUGAUGGGGACACUUUGGAUGCUCGAGAUUGCCACCGUUUUGAGAAUGGCUGUCCCGACACACAUUAUACUUCUGAAGAAAUGUACAAAUGUGAGUAGAGAUUACGCAACUUAGAAUUCGCAUAUAUGUAGAUUAUUUGGAUAUUUUUGUGUCUUUGUUGAGUUGUUUUAGAUAGAUAAUAUAUGCAUGUAAUAUGAUUUCAUAUUCCGUCCAAUGAUGAUGAAUCCCAAUGGUAUCUACCUAGAAGUUGUCAUUUAUUCUGAUUUGAUUUCUUCAUCAAUUAAAAAUGUUUGAUGUAUAAUCUUACUGUAAAUGCUUCCUACUUCCUUUUUGUUUGUAUAUCAAUAAAAAAGAUGUUAUC